ACAGUUUUGGUCCUAGACUUACCGUUGUUUUUUAUCAAAAUUAUACAUGCAAGCCUCAACACACCAGUGAAAAUGCCCAAAACACCUAAAAAGAAAUAUUGGAGCAGGUAUCAGGCACUACUAAACCCAGCCCAUAACACCUUGCCAUGCCACACCCCCACGGGCUAUCAGCAGUAAUAAACAUUGGGCCAUAAGUGAAAACUUGACCCAGUUAUGAUAACUUAGGGCUGGUUAAUUUCGUGCCAGCCACCGCGGUUAUACGAAAAGCCCGAAACAACGACAAACGGCGUAAAAUGUGACUAGAGAUACUAAUUCCAAAAAUAUUAAAACUUACAGUUUAGUUGUAAAAUACUCAAACAAUAAAGAAAACCAACACAAAUAUUUUUGCUAUUAUUUACUUGACCACACGAAAGCUUAGAAACAAACUAGGAUUAGAUACCCUACUAUGCUAAGCCCUAAACAUUGAUUAGUUAUAUACAACACUCUCCGCCAGAGAACUACAAGUGAAAAACUUGAAACUCAAAGGACUUGACGGUAUCCCAUAUCGACCUAGAGGAGCCUGUCCUAUAAUCGAUACCCCUCGCUUCACCCCACCCUAACUAGCACACAUUAUCAGCCUAUAUACCGCCGUCGAUCAGCCUACCCUAUGAAGGUCUAAUAGUAGACACAAUAGCCCAACCGCUAAUACGUCAGGUCAAGGUGUAGCAAAUGUUAGGGAAGAGAUUGGCUACAUUUUUUAUGAUAAAAAACACGAAAAGUAUUAUGAAACAAUACAUGAAGGUGAAUUUAGUAGUAAAAUAGAUAAGAGAGUCUAUUUUAACAACGCUCUGGGAUGCGUACACACCGCCCGUCACCCUCCUCAAAUUUAUACUCAAUCUAUUUAUAAAACAUAAACUGAAUCCUAGAGGAGGUAAGUCGUAACAUGGUAAGCGUACCGGAAGGUGUGCUUGGAAUUAC
rnacentral:ncRNA from 1 species